rnacentral:pre_miRNA from 1 species
AGGCUCGGCCUCGCCCAGCCAUGGCGAGGUCGAGCCUCGCCAGAUCUGGCGACGGCGGCCUCGCCGUCGCUGGGCGAGGCUCGCCCC